rnacentral:rRNA from 1 species
UAUUGGGUUUAAAGGGUCCGUAGGCGGAUCUGUAAGUCAGUGGUGAAAUCUCAUAGCUUAACUAUGAAACUGCCAUUGAUACUGCGGGUCUUGAGUGAGAUUGAGGUAGCUGGAAUAAGUAGUGUAGCGGUGAAAUGCAUAGAUAUUACUUAGAACACCAAUUGCGAAGGCAGGUUACCAAGUCUUAACUGACGCUGAUGGACGAAAGCGUGGGGAGCGAACAGGAUUAGAUACCCUGGUAGUCCACGCCGUAAACGAUGCUAACUCGUUUUUGGGCUUUUGGGUUCAGAGACUAAGCGAAAGUGAUAAGUUAGCCACCUGGGGAGUACGUUCGCAAGAAUGAAACUCAAAGGAAUUGACGGGGGCCCGCACAAGCGGUGGAGCAUGUGGUUUAAUUCGAUGAUACGCGAGGAACCUUACCAAGACUUAAAUGGGAAAUGCCAGGUUUAGAAAUAGACCCUUCUUCGGACAUUUUUCAAGGUGCUGCAUGGUUGUCGUCAGCUCGUGCCGUGAGGUGUUAGGUUAAGUCCUGCAACGAGCGCAACCCCUGUCACUAGUUGCUAACAUUCAGUUGAGGACUCUAGUGAGACUGCCUACGCAAGUAGAGAGGAAGGUGGGGAUGACGUCAAAUCAUCACGGCCCUUACGUCUUGGGCCACACACGUGCUACAAUGGCCAGUACAGAGGGCAGCUACCAGGUGACUGGAUGCGAAUCUCGAAAGCUGGUCUCAGUUCGGAUUGGAGUCUGCAACUCGACUCUAUGAAGCUGGAAUCGCUAGUAAUCGCGCAUCAGCCAUGGCGCGGUGAAUACGUUCCCGGGCCUUGUACACACCGCCCGUCAAGCCAUGGAAGUCUGGGGUACCUGAAGUCGGUGACCGUAACAGGAGCUGCCUAGGGUAAAACAGGUAACUAGGGCUAAGUCGUAACAAGGUAGCCGUACCGGAAGGUGCGGCUGGAACAUCUCAUUU